rnacentral:rRNA from 1 species
GCAUGUACCGUAUGAAUAACGAUCGGCUAACUCCCUGCCAACAACCGCGGUAAUACGGAUGAUCCGAACGUUAUCCGGAUUUAUUGAGUUUAAAGGGAGCGUAAAUGGGUAGUUAAGUCACCUGUGAUCGUUUGCGGCUCAGCCUUAAAAUUGCAAUUGAUACUGUCACUCAUGAGAACACUUAAUGUAAGCGGAAUUCGUGAUGUAGCGGAGAAAUGCUAAGAUGUCACGAAGAACUCCGAUUGCCAAGGCAACUUACUAACCUGUAACUGACAUUGAUGCUCGAAAGUGUGGAUAUCAUACACGAUUAGAUACCCUGGUAGUCCACACGGAAAACGAUGAAUACUGCCUAUAGAUGAUAUACAGUAUGCGGCCAAGUGAAAGCUUUAAGUAUUGCGUCUGGUGAGUAGACUGGCAAUGAUGAAAAUCAAAGGAAUUGACGGCGAGCCGCACAAGCGGAGGAACAUGUGGUUUAAUUGGAUGGUACGUGAGGAGCUUUAGCCGUGCUUAAAUUGCAUCUGUAUUUGGAGGAAUCGUUAUAGAUAGCAAUAGCGGUUGUGAAGGUGUUGCAUGGUUGUCGUCAGAUGGUACCGUGAGGUGUGGGCUUAAGUGACAUAACGAGCGCUACCCUUUACGAUAGUUAUUAGCAGGUCAUUCUGAGGAGUCUGUCGGGGAUGCCAUGGUAAGAUGUGAGGAAGGUGGGGAUGACGUCAAAUCAGCACGGCCCUUACGUCCGGGGCUACACACGUGUUACAAUGGGGGGGUACAGAGGGCUGAUGGCAGGCAAGUGGAUGCCAAUCCCAUAUCCCUUUGUCAGUUAGGAUUGAAGUCUGCAACCCGAAUUCAGGAAGCUGGAUUAUCUAGUAUUCGAGCAUCAGGCAGGGCGCGGUGAAUACUUUCCCGGGCCUUGUCCACCCCGCCCGUCAAGUCAUGGGAGCCGGGGGUCCGUGAAGCGCGUAAACGGGAGGAGCUCCCUAGGGUAAAACUGGUGACUGGGG